rnacentral:rRNA from 1 species
UACGUAGGGGGCAAGCGUUGUCCGGAUUUAUUGGGCGUAAAGAGCGUGUAGGCGGCCAAGCAGGUCCGCUGUGAAAACUCGAGGCUCAACCUCGAGACGUCGGUGGAAACCGUUUGGCUAGAGUCCGGAAGAGGAGAGUGGAAUUCACGGUGUAGCAGUGAAAUGCGUAGAUAUCGUGAGGAACACCAGAGGCGAAGGCGGCUACCUGGACAAUUGCUGACGCUCAGGCACGAAAGCGUGGGGAGCAAAAGGG